UACAUGGGGUGCAAACGUUGCUCGGAAUUACUGGGCGUAAAGCGUGCGCAGGCGGUUUUGUAAGCCAGAUGUGAAAUCCCCGGGCUCAACCUGGGAAUGGCAUUUGGGACUGCAAGGCUGGAGUACGGCAGAGGAGACUGGAAUUCCUGGUGUAGCAGUGAAAUGCGUAGAGAUCAGGAGGAAUACCGAUGGCGAAGGCAGGUCUCUGGGCUGAUACUGACGCUCAUGCACGAAAGGCGUGGG
rnacentral:rRNA from 1 species